ACGAACGCUGGCGGCGUGCUUAACACAUGCACGUCGAACGGAAAGGCCCUGCUUUUGUGGGGUGCUCGAGUGGCGAGCGGGUGAGUAACACGUGAGUAACCUGCCCUUGACUUUGGGAUAACUUCAGGAAACUGGGGCUAAUACCGGAUAGGAGCUCCUGCUGCAUGGUGGGGGUUGGAAAGUUUCGGCGGUUGGGGAUGGACUCGCGGCUUAUCAGCUUGUUGGUGGGGUAGUGGCUUACCAAGGCUUUGACGGGUAGCCGGCCUGAGAGGGUGACCGGCCACAUUGGGACUGAGAUACGGCCCAGACUCCUACGGGAGGCAGCAGUGGGGAAUAUUGCACAAUGGGCGGAAGCCUGAUGCAGCAACGCCGCGUGCGGGAUGACGGCCUUCGGGUUGUAAACCGCUUUCGCCUGUGACGAAGCGUGAGUGACGGUAAUGGGUAAAGAAGCACCGGCUAACUACGUG
rnacentral:rRNA from 1 species